CGCAUUAGCUAGUCGGCGGGGUAACGGCCCACCGAGGCGACGAUGCGUAGGGGUUCUGAGAGGAAGGUCCCCCACACUGGUACUGAGACACGGACCAGACUCCUACGGGAGGCAGCAGUGAGGAAUAUUGGUCAAUGGGCGAGAGCCUGAACCAGCCAAGUCGCGUGAGGGAAGACGGUCCUAUGGAUUGUAAACCUCUUUUGUCGGGGAGCAAAAAGGCCUCGUGAGGCCACAAGCGAGAGUACCCGAAGAAAAAGCAUCGGCUAACUCCGUGCCAGCAGCCGCGGUAAUACGGAGGAUGCGAGCGUUAUCCGGAUUUAUUGGGUUUAAAGGGUGCGUAGGCGGACUGGAAAGUCAGCGGUAAAAUCGAGAGGCUCAACCUCUUUCCGCCGUUGAAACUGUCGGUCUUGAGUGGGCGAGAAGUAUGCGGAAUGCGUGGUGUAGCGGUGAAAUGCAUAGAUAUCACGCAGAACUCCGAUUGCGAAGGCAGCAUACCGGCGCCCGACUGACGCUGAGGCACGAAAGCGUGGGUAUCGAACAGGAUUAGAUACCCUGGUAGUCCACGCAGUAAACGAUGAAUACUAAUUGUCCGGUCAGAAUGAUGACUGG
rnacentral:rRNA from 1 species